GGGCAUUAUGUUUUCUGGUCUGUGGGUCCGUUCGUCUGUCCGUCUGUCCCGCUUCAGGUUAAAAAUUUUCGUCAAGGUAGUAUUUGAUGAAGUUGAAGUCCAAUCAACUUGAAACUUAGUACACAUGUUCCCUAUGAUAUGAACUGUCUUAUUUAAAUGCCAAACUAGAGUUUUGGCCCCAAUUUCACGGUCCAAUAAACAUAGAAAAUGAUAGUGCGAGUGGGGCAUCCGUGUACUAUGGACACAUUUUUGUUUCUAAUACAACCAUUCAUAAGACGAAAAUAAACUGACAAUAAUUGUGGUUAAAAAAAAUGAAAAAAAAAGACACAAGGAUUGAACAGCUUGAAACCCAUCUAAAACCUAAAAGUACAGUCUUAUUUAUACGAGAUGUGUCAUACACACCAGACUUAACUACUGGUGAUAGUUAUCCGGAAAAGAAAUAACAUAUAUCUAUUAUUCCCGUGGUAAGAUAUCGAAAUCAUUCAAGACAUCUUUUUAAAGCUGUCUAAAGUCUGGAACUGGAUUUUAGGUAAAAAUCAUAAUUCGCAUUUAUACUACUGAACUCCGAUUUGUACUAUGAGGAUAUUUUGGAUCGAAAGAAUAUGGUAUAAAAUAAAAUCACAGAAUUUUUUUCGAAGCUUUAAAUAAAAAUACUGCUACCUUUGAUUUUGAAAAUUCAAAGAGAUUUAUGUACAAGUGUCUAGAAAAAACUGAAAAAAGUAGACAACUAAACAAACGAUAUGUCAUUUUGUUGACAAAAAAUAGCUAUGCGCAAGUAUAAACCAAACAACAAGUAAAUGCAUGUAAAAAUAAAUAAUUAAUUACAUAUAACAUACCAAACAUUAGUCGUGACCUCGGUGGCCGAGUGGUCUAAGUAACUACUGUAAUCAAUAGCUAGUCAAAACUGAGGAUGUGAUUGAACCCUGCUCGGGCCGUGCAGGUGCAUUCGACUCCAAUCUUAAUUGACUAGAAUUUCAGUUUUUAUGUCGAAGGUCGGUGAUUUUUCUCCGCGCACUCUGGCUUCCUCCACCAUUAAAAACUUGCCACCACAAAAAUAGCCCAAAAGCGGUGCUAAAAAGUGGCGUAAAAACACAAUAAAAUAAAAUAAAAUCAUACACUAGUAAAUCUUUUUAGUAGUAUCAAUAUUUUGAAAAGUAGCAGUAGUUAUGUCUACAUUUCGAAGUCGGCAAGGGAUUGCUUAAAUAUUGAGGAUAUCAUGAAAUUUUUCCAUUUACACAAUAGCUCUUUGCAUUUCCUAAGCAAAAGGAGACAACCCUAGAAAUAAAACUUGUAUAAAUAUCAAUGUUUAGUAAGCUUUAUCAUUAAAAUUAAAAAAAAAAUGAAUGGAUAGGAAAUUGUAUCUAUCAUUUUUGUCUCAGAAAGAAAAAAAUGCUGACAAAUUUUUCAAAAACUGAAUUUCAGUUGAUUUUACUUCUAAAGAAAUUACAAUAUUAUAGUUUGAACCCACCCACAGUAAACUGUCCUUGAUUGUCAGUAUAUCAACCAACGCCAAAAAAUAUAAUGAUUAUAUACUAAAGGGUCAAUGUAAAACAAAUCCGAUAGACACGAUCAAUAUAUACAAAUACAUAUUUAUGCAAGUAUUAAUCUUUCCUAGUUGAUUAGAUAGUCUUCCUCGGAUGUUAGAUUGUAAAAU
rnacentral:lncRNA from 1 species